ACGGAUCUCAAGUCUAUGGUUCAACAACACAUAGGGAUGCUGAAUCGCCUGUGUAUGGCAACGAUGCAGAAGAUGAGAUGAUCAGAGCUGCUAUUGAGGCUUCCAAGAAGGAUUUUCAAGAGGGUUCCAUCUAGCGUUUUAUCUUCGAGAGAGGCUAUUAACAAGGAAGACGAGGACAUUGCCCGUGCAAUUUCUAUGUCAAUAGAGAUGGAAGAGCAAGAGAGUGUAAUGCGAGAGCAACUAGCUGAACUCAUGUCUCCCUC